AACGUAGGACACAAGCGUUAUCCGGAGUUACUGGGCGUAAAGGGCGUUUAGGCGGGUGAUUACGUUCGCUAUGAAAGCGCCGGGCUAAACUCGGCGAGGCUGGCGGAUACUGGUCAUCUGGAGUGAGUCAGAGGAAGGUAGAAUUCCGCGUGUAGUGGUGAAAUGCGUAGAGAUGCGGAGGAGUACCAGUGGCGAAGGCGGCCUUCUGGGACUCAACUGACGCUGAAGCGCGAAAGCAUGGGGAGCGAACGGG
rnacentral:rRNA from 1 species